ACGGGGACAACAUUCCGAAAGGGAUGCUAAUACCGGAUGUGACGCUCCUAUCGCAUGACGGGAGCGUGAAAGAUGGCCUCUACAUGUAAGCUAUCGCUAAAGGAUGGGCCUGCGUCUGAUUAGCUAGUUGGUAGUGUAACGGACAACCAAGGCGAUGAUCAGUAGCCGGUCUGAGAGGAUGAAUGGCCACAUUGGGACUGAGACACGGCCCAG
rnacentral:rRNA from 1 species